rnacentral:lncRNA from 1 species
ACUCCAGAUUAAGCCAGAAGACUGAUUCAGAUCCAGCCAGAGGAUCGGAAGAAAAAUAAACAACGUGGUGUAUUUCCGCGUUUUUGUGGUGUUCUCGGAGCGCAAUUUUUCGGUCUGUCUUUGGUAUUCAAUCACAGCUCACCCCGUUUGUCUGAUAAGCUGUUCGCUUUCAUCAUGUCAAUCAGAAUUAGAUCCAAGAAAACUUAAAAAUAAAAAAUAAUAAAAAAUAAAAAACGUAAAAUAUAACGAAGAAAAAAAAAAUAAUAAUAAAAAAAAAAAUUUACAAAAUAAAUAAAUAAAUAAAAAUAAUAAUAAAUAAAAAUAUAUAUAAUAGAAAAACUUGGACUUGGACCUCUCUCAUUUGAGCCCACAAAGCCAUGAAAAUCAGGUUAUAAAAGAGGGAGAUCAGACAGAAAAAGGAAAAGAAGCAAAAUACUCUGAGGUUUCCUUGAAACAAAACCCUGGACAAAACCUGAAGAGAAACCUGAC